rnacentral:rRNA from 1 species
UACGUAGGGGCCGAGCGUUGUCCGGAGUUACUGGGCGUAAAGCGCGCGCAGGCGGCUCGUCAAGUCUGACGUGAAAGCCCGGGGCUCAACCCCGGGUCGGCCGUCGAUACUCUCGUGCUUGAGCACUGUAGAGGCAGGUGGAAUUCCGGGUGUAGCGGUGGAAUGCGUAGAGAUCCGGAAGAACACCGGUGGCGAAGGCGGCCUGCUGGGCAGUAGCUGACACUGAGGCGCGACAGCGUGGGGAGCAAACAGG